rnacentral:rRNA from 1 species
GACGAACGCUGGCGGCGUGCUUAACACAUGCAAGUCGAACGGAAAGGCCCUGCUUUUGUGGGGUGCUCGAGUGGCGAACGGGUGAGUAACACGUGAGUAACCUGCCCUUGACUUUGGGAUAACUUCAUGAAACUGGGGCUAAUACCGGAUAGGAGCUCCUGCUUCAUGGUGGGGGUUGGAAAGUUUCGGCGGUUGGGGAUGGACUCGCGGCUUAUCAGCUUGUUGGUGGGGUAGUGGCUUACCAAGGCUUUGACCGGUAGCCGGCCUGAGAGGGUGACCGGCCACAUUGGGACUGAGAUACGGCACAGACCACUACGGGAGGCAGCAGUGGGGAAGAUUGCACAAUGGGCGGAAGCCUGAUGCAGCAAAGCAGCGUGCGGGAUGACGGCAUGCGGGUUGUAAACCGCUGUCGCCUGUGACGAAGCGUGAGUGACGGUAAUGGGUAAAGAAGCACCGGCUAACUACGUG